rnacentral:lncRNA from 1 species
GGUGGUGGUGCUGUGUGUGCUGCCGUGGAUAUCGGAGCUGAACGUGCAGCACUUUGGCACCGACGGUAUGGCCACUUGGGAUACAGCAACCUUGAGGCGUUGCUGCGUCACAACAUGGUAACUGGGUUCGAUGUUGACCGACACAGCAUACAAUCAGCCAGCGCGUGUGUGUGUGAGACUUGCGUCCUUGCAAAGCAUACACGUGGUCCUUUUCCGUUAACUGGGCAUAAGGCAGCGCAGCCUCUCGC